rnacentral:rRNA from 1 species
UACAGAGGGUGCAAGCGUUUGUUCGGAAUUAUUGGGCGUAAAGCGCGUGUAGGCGGCUUGGCAAGUCGGGUGUGAAAGCCCUCAGCUCAACUGAGGAAGUGCGCCCGAAACUGCUUUGCUUGAGUGCUGGAGAGGGUCGCGGAAUUCCCCAAGUAGAGGUGAAAUUCGUAGAUAUGGGGAGGAACACCGGUGGCGAAGGCGCGACCUGGACGAGUAACUGACGCUGAGACGCGAAAGCGUGGGUAGCAAACAGG